UGGGGAAUAUUGCACAAUGGGGGAAACCCUGAUGCAGCGACGCCGCGUGAACGAAGAAGGUAUUCGUAUCGUAAAGUUCUGUCCUAUGGGAAGAUAAUGACAGUACCAUAGAAGAAAGCUCCGGCUAAAUACGUGCCAGCAGCCGCGGUAAUACGUAUGGAGCGAGCGUUGUCCGGAAUUAUUGGGCGUAAAGGGUACGCAGGCGGUUUAAUAAGUCGAAUGUUAAAGAUCGGGGCUCAACCCCGCAAAGCAUUGGAAACUGAUAAACUUGAGUAGUGGAGAGGAAAGUGGAAUUCCUAGUGUAGUGGUGAAAUACGUAGAUAUUAGGAGGAAUACCAGUAGCGAAGGCGACUUUCUGGACACAAAUUGACGCUGAGGUACGAAAGCGUGGGGAGCAAACAGG
rnacentral:rRNA from 1 species